AAUGGACGCAAGUCUGAACCAGCCAUGCCGCGUGCAGGAUGAAGCAUCUAUGGUGUGUAAACUGCUUUUGUACGGGAAGAAACACUCCUACGUGUAGGAACUUGACGGUACCGUAAGAAUAAGGAUCGGCUAACUCCGUGCCAGCAGCCGCGGUAAUACGGAGGAUCCAAGCGUUAUCCGGAAUCAUUGGGUUUAAAGGGUCCGUAGGCGGCUUUAUAAGUCAGUGGUGAAAGCCCAUCGCUUAACGAUGGAACGGCCAUUGAUACUGUAGAGCUUGAAUUACUUGGAAGUAACUAGAAUAUGUAGUGUAGCGGUGAAAUGCUUAGAUAUUACAUGGAAUACCAAUUGCGAAGGCAGGUUACUACAAGUGGAUUGACGCUGAUGGACGAAAGCGUGGGGAGCGAA
rnacentral:rRNA from 1 species